rnacentral:rRNA from 1 species
CCUGGGGAGUACGGCCGCAAGGUUAAAACUCAAAUGAAUUGACGGGGGCCCGCACAAGCGGUGGAGCAUGUGGUUUAAUUCGAUGCAACGCGAAGAACCUUACCUGGUCUUGACAUCCACAGAACUUUCCAGAGAUGGAUUGGUGCCUUCGGGAACUGUGAGACAGGUGCUGCAUGGCUGUCGUCAGCUCGUGUUGUGAAAUGUUGGGUUAAGUCCCGCAACGAGCGCAACCCUUAUCCUUUGUUGCCAGCGGUCCGGCCGGGAACUCAAAGGAGACUGCCAGUGAUAAACUGGAGGAAGGUGGGGAUGACGUCAAGUCAUCAUGGCCCUUACGACCAGGGCUACACACGUGCUACAAUGGCGCAUACAAAGAGAAGCGACCUCGCGAGAGCAAGCGGACCUCAUAAAGUGCGUCGUAGUCCGGAUUGGAGUCUGCAACUCGACUCCAUGAAGUCGGAAUCGCUAGUAAUCGUGGAUCAGAAUGCCACGGUGAAUACGUUCCCGGGCCUUGUACACACCGCCCGUCACACCAUGGGAGUGGGUUGCAAAAGAAGUAGGUAGCUUAACCUUCGGGAGGGCGCUUACCACUUUGUGAUUCAUGACUGGGGUGAAGUCGUAACAAGGUAACCGUAGGGGAACCUGCGGUUGGAUCACCUCCUUACCUUAAAGAA